GAUGAACGCUAGCGACAGGCCUAACACAUGCAAGUCGAGGGGCAGCACAAAGUAGCAAUACUUGGUGGCGACCGGCGCACGGGUGAGUAACACGUAUGCAACCUACCUGUAAGCGGGGAAUAACCCGGAGAAAUUCGGACUAACACCGCAUAAUACUGAAUUACUGCAUGGUUUUUCAGUUAAAUAUUUAUAGCUUACAGAUGGGCAUGCGUAUGAUUAGAUAGUUGGUAGGGUAACGGCCUACCAAGUCAACGAUCAUUAGGGGUUCUGAGAGGAAGGUCCCCCACACUGGUACUGAGACACGGACCAGACUCCUACGGGAGGCAGCAGUGAGGAAUAUUGGUCAAUGGGCGAGAGCCUGAACCAGCCAAGUCGCGUGAAGGAAGAAGGUUCUAUGGAUUGUAAACUUCUUUUGUAAGGGAAUAAAAAGUGGUACGUGUACCAUAUUGUAUGUACUUUACGAAUAAGCAUCGGCUAACUCCGUGCCAGCAGCCGCGGUAAACUGU
rnacentral:rRNA from 1 species